AGAGUUUGAUCCUGGCUCAGGACGAACGCUGGCGGCACGCUUAACACAUGCAAGUCGAACGAGAGAAGAGGAGCUUGCUUUUCUGAUCUAGUGGCGGACGGGUGAGUAACACGUGAGCAAUCUGCCUUUCAGAGGGGGAUACCGAUUGGAAACGAUCGUUAAUACCGCAUAACAUAAUUGAACCGCAUGAUUUGAUUAUCAAAGAUUUAUCGCUGAAAGAUGAGCUCGCGUCUGAUUAGCUAGUUGGUAAGGUAACGGCUUACCAAGGCGACGAUCAGUAGCCGGACUGAGAGGUUGAUCGGCCACAUUGGGACUGAGACACGGCCCAGACUCCUACGGGAGGCAGCAGUGGGGAAUAUUGCACAAUGGAGGAAACUCUGAUGCAGCGAUGCCGCGUGAGGGAAGAAGGUUUUAGGAUUGUAAACCUCUGUCUUCAGGGACGAAAAAAGACGGUACCUGAGGAGGAAGCUCCGGCUAACUACGUGCCAGCAGCCGCGGUAAUACGUAGGGAGCGAGCGUUGUCCGGAAUUACUGGGUGUAAAGGGAGCGUAGGCGGGAUCGCAAGUCAGAUGUGAAAACUAUGGGCUUAACCCAUAAACUGCAUUUGAAACUGUGGUUCUUGAGUGAAGUAGAGGUAAGCGGAAUUCCUAGUGUAGCGGUGAAAUGCGUAGAUAUUAGGAGGAACAUCAGUGGCGAAGGCGGCUUACUGGGCUUUAACUGACGCUGAGGCUCGAAAGCGUGGGGAGCAAACAGGAUUAGAUACCCUGGUAGUCCACGCCGUAAACGAUGAUUACUAGGUGUGGGGGGACUGACCCCUUCCGUGCCGCAGCAAACGCAAUAAGUAAUCCACCUGGGGAGUACGACCGCAAGGUUGAAACUCAAAGGAAUUGACGGGGGCCCGCACAAGCAGUGGAGUAUGUGGAUUAAUUCGAAGCAACGCGAAGAACCUUACCAGGUCUUGACGUCGUAUGCAUAGCUCAGAGAUGAGUGAAAUCUCUUCGGAGACAUAUAGACAGGUGGUGCAUGGUUGUCGUCAGCUCGUGUCGUGAGAUGUUGGGUAAGUCCCGCAACGAGCGCAACCCUUACUGUUAGUUGCUACGCAAGAGCACUCUAGCAGGACUGCCGUUGACAAAACGGAGGAAGGUGGGGAUGACGUCAAAUCAUCAUGCCCCUUAUGACCUGGGCCUCACACGUACUACUAUGGCUGUCAACAGAGGGAAGCAAAGCCGCGAGGUGGAGCGAACCCCUAAAAGCAGUCUUAGUUCGGAUUGUAGGCUGCAACCCGCCUACAUGAAGUCGGAAUUGCUAGUAAUCGCAGAUCAGCAUGCUGCGGUGAAUACGUUCCCGGGCCUUGUACACACCGCCCGUCACGCCAUGGGAGUCGGUAACACCCGAAGCCUGUAGUCUAACCGCAAGGAGGACGCAGUCGAAGGUGGGAUUGAUGACUGGGGUGAAGUCGUAACAAGGUA
rnacentral:rRNA from 1 species